rnacentral:tRNA from 1 species
GCAGCGGUAUCGAAGUGGUUAUAACGGCCCUGACUCGAAAUCAGGUGUAUCAGCAAUGAUACCGUGGGUUCGAAUCCCACCCGCUGCGCCA